rnacentral:rRNA from 1 species
UUAGAUUAAGUUAUUAAGGGCGCACGGUGGAUGCCUUGGCACUAGAAGCCGAUGAAGGACGUUACUAACGACGAUAUGCUUUGGGUAGCUGUAAGUAAGCGUUGAUCCAGAGAUUUCCGAAUGGGGGAACCCAACACAAGUUAUGUUGUGUUAUCGACAAGUGAAUUCAUAGCUUGUCAGAAGGCAGACCCGGAGAACUGAAACAUCUUAGUACCCGGAGGAAGAGAAAGAAAAUUCGAUUCCCUGAGUAGCGGCGAGCGAAACGGGAAGAGCCCAAACCAAUAAGCUUGCUUAUUGGGGUUGUAGGACACUCUAUACGGAGUUACAAAGGAAUAUAUUAAACGAAUCAUCUGGAAAGUUGAAUCAAAGAAGGUAAUAAUCCUGUAGUUGAAAAUAUAUUCUCUCUUGAGUGGAUCCUGAGUACGACGGAGCACGUGAAAUUCCGUCGGAAUCUGGGAGGACCAUCUCCUAAGGCUAAAUACUCUCUAGUGACCGAUAGUGAACCAGUACCGUGAGGGAAAGGUGAAAAGUACCCCGGAAGGGGAGUGAAAGAGAACUUGAAACCGUGUGCUUACAAGUAGUCAGAGCCCGUUAAUGGGUGAUGGCGUGCCUUUUGUAGAAUGAACCGGCGAGUUACGAUCUGAUGCAAGGUUAAGCAGAAAAUGUGGAGCCGUAGCGAAAGCGAGUCUGAAUAGGGCGUAUAGUAUUUGGUCGUAGACCCGAAACCAGGUGAUCUACCCAUGGUCAGGUUGAAGUUCAGGUAACACUGAAUGGAGGACCGAACCGACUUACGUUGAAAAGUGAGCGGAUGAACUGUGGGUAGCGGAGAAAUUCCAAUCGAACUUGGAGAUAGCUGGUUCUCUCCGAAAUAGCUUUAGGGCUAGCCUCAAGUGAUGAUUAUUGGAGGUAGAGCACUGUUUGGACGAGGGGCCCCUCUCGGGUUACCGAAUUCAGACAAACUCCGAAUGCCAAUUAAUUUAACUUGGGAGUCAGAACAUGGGUGAUAAGGUCCGUGUUCGAAAGGGAAACAGCCCAGACCACCAGCUAAGGUCCCAAAAUAUAUGUUAAGUGGAAAAGGAUGUGGCGUUGCCCAGACAACUAGGAUGUUGGCUUAGAAGCAGCCAUCAUUUAAAGAGUGCGUAAUAGCUCACUAGUCGAGUGACACUGCGCCGAAAAUGUACCGGGGCUAAACAUAUUACCGAAGCUGUGGAUUGUCCUUUGGACAAUGGUAGGAGAGCGUUCUAAGGGCGUUGAAGCAUGAUCGCAAGGACAUGUGGAGCGCUUAGAAGUGAGAAUGCCGGUGUGAGUAGCGAAAGACGGGUGAGAAUCCCGUCCACCGAUUGACUAAGGUUUCCAGAGGAAGGCUCGUCCGCUCUGGGUUAGUCGGGUCCUAAGCUGAGGCCGACAGGCGUAGGCGAUGGAUAACAGGUUGAUAUUCCUGUACCACCUAUAAUCGUUUUAAUCGAUGGGGGGACGCAGUAGGAUAGGCGAAGCGUACGAUUGGAUUGUACGUCUAAGCAGUGAGAUUGAGUGUUAGGCAAAUCCGGCACUCUUAAGAUUGAGCUGUGAUGGGGAGAGGAAAUUGUUUCCUCGAGUCGUUGAUUUCACACUGCCGAGAAAAGCCUCUAGAUAGAGAUUAGGUGCCCGUACCGCAAACCGACACAGGUAGUCAAGAUGAGAAUUCUAAGGUGAGCGAGCGAACUCUCGUUAAGGAACUCGGCAAAAUGACCCCGUAACUUCGGGAGAAGGGGUGCUCUUUAGGGUGCAAGCCCAGAAGAGCCGCAGUGAAUAGGCCCAAGCGACUGUUUAUCAAAAACACAGGUCUCUGCUAAACCGUAAGGUGAUGUAUAGGGGCUGACGCCUGCCCGGUGCUGGAAGGUUAAGAGGAGUGGUUAGCUUCUGCGAAGCUACGAAUCGAAGCCCCAGUAAACGGCGGCCGUAACUAUAACGGUCCUAAGGUAGCGAAAUUCCUUGUCGGGUAAGUUCCGACCCGCACGAAAGGCGUAACGAUUUGGGCACUGUCUCAACGAGAGACUCGGUGAAAUCAUAGUACCUGUGAAGAUGCAGGUUACCCGCGACAGGACGGAAAGACCCCGUGGAGCUUUACUGUAGCCUGAUAUUGAAAUUCGGCACAGCUUGUACAGGAUAGGUAGGAGCCUUUGAAACGUGAGCGCUAGCUUACGUGGAGGCGUUGGUGGGAUACUACCCUAGCUGUGUUGGCUUUCUAACC